GUGAAAAGUUGCAAGUUCCAGCCUUUCAUGAGUCUCGGCAGAGCAGCGAGCGAGUGUUGGAGCUGUUUAAAAAUCAACAGAAAGACAAGAAAUUUCAUAUCUUAAGUCCUGUUCUACCUCUAGGGCUUAUCAUAAUAGAAAAAAAUAAGAAUACCAAAAAUACAUAUUGGUCAUAAUAAGAUAUUUAAAUUCCAAAGUUAUACAUCAGAGGAAAAUGUAGUCACCUUGUAGUGUAAGGGAUCUAAUUUUCAUUCUAUUGUGGCUUAACUAUAGUAGAAGUGUGUGAAAUUAACAUCCAUUAUUAAAAUAAAUCUAGUAAGAUAUAAAAAUUUGAAUAUUUAUAAAUCAUAUUGAGAAGAAAUUAAAUAUACAAAGGAAACGAGUUAAACAAAUAAUAAUCUUCAAGAACUCUUCACGUUGUCCCUUCUAACCAGCGUUAGAUUCUAAAAUCAUGCAUAUCCACUUCAUAUUCUCACAUAAUUGAAUAAAGAAAGAAAAAAAAAAUGCAUCCGUCUCUGCUUCUAAGACACUACCGCCUGAAAAAAAGAUUGAGUAUCCUAUUCACAUAAGACAACAAGCCCAUUCAGAAAAACACAAAAAUCAUCCGGAUUGCCCUUUUAAUAGGUUAUGUAUUACUAGCAGAAACAAGGUCUAAUUUUUAAGAUAAAAGAAGAAGCUUUGUUAAAUGAAUAGGAGAGAAAAGAUUACAAAGAUAGAGAAUAGGUUAUGUAUUACUAGCAGAAACAAGGUCUAAUUUUUAAGAUAAAAGAAGAAGCUUUGUUAAAUGAAUAGGAGAGAAAAGAUUACAAAGAUAGAGAAUAAGUCAUCCUCCUCAAUAAGUAAAGAAUAAAUACAAAAAUAAAGAAUAAAAGAUUAAAAUAGUGUAAAUUAAAAUAUCUCCUUUCUCCUCUGUGGAUGAUAGCAUCCUAAUUACAGUAUAGAUUUGAGAUGCUUAUGCUCGGGUAACAGCCAUGCACUUUUGCCCAAAGGGAAACCAUAAAAAUGAUCCUCUCGCUGAGCUCAUGAACGCCGUCUCCUGAUCAAGAAAAAUCUGUCGGUUCCUUGUUUGCCAUGUACCCCAAAGGCCAGAAAAAUCGCACUAGCCACAUCACCUUAGCCUCUUUUCUUACUCUGUUCCCCUGAAUAUAUAUAUUUAUUUGAAACAACCCCCUGGAUACAUGAAUUAAAAAUAUCAACUAUAGGAGGCACCACAUAGAUAAGGCCAAACUUAUUCAUCAGAGCUACCUACAAUUUCCACAUCAUGGUACAAUGUAACAACAAGUGGGAGUGAGUCUCACCCUUUCCAGAACACAAAAUGCAUAUAUCAGGAAAUAAGGCUCGGUGAGGUCAUCGGACUAGAAGCAUAUCAUUAGUGUUUAGCUUUUGGUUAAUAGCAGUCCAUGAAAAUAUCUUUACCUUCAAAGGGACUGUAGCUUUCCAAAGUAUGUUGGCAAUAAUGAAUUGUUUUUACUGGGAUUAGAGAUAAGGUGCAUGAAUAAAGAUUUACAUGAGAAGAACCUAGAAGGUUCAAGAAUUCAAGAAUGUUGGUCUGGUGGGUUGUUAAUUUGAACAGACUCUAGCAUAUUUACUAAAGUCAUGACAUCAGGAGUCUCCCUAUCAGAAAGGUUGGGAUUGAAAUGAAAGUUCCAAGAUAGUCCUCCCUGGGAAUUAGCACCAAAGCUGGAGACAUAUGUAUUAUGUGUAGUGGAUAACCGGUGACAUCAAGAGAUUUUGUGGUGAGCAGUUUAUUCUCUAGCCAUGUAUCCUCCCAAAACAAACUCUAUAUCCAUUUCCCACAUGUAGUCUUGGGAAAUGGAUUUCAAAGGACUACGGUGAGUCGUGGACCCUCCAGCGAGGACAUUCCAAUCACCCUUCUCUCCUCCAUGGGUACUGUUAAUCACCUUGUGUCAUAGAGAGGUUGGUUCAUGAGGAAAAUGCUAUAGCUAUUUUGCAAGUAGAGAUAAGUUCUUUGAUUUGAGAUUCCCAAUGCCCAAACCCCCUAAAUGUUUAGAUUGACAACAGACCUUCC
rnacentral:lncRNA from 1 species